rnacentral:rRNA from 1 species
GACGAACGCUGGCGGCGCGCUUAACACAUGCAAGUCGAACGGAAAGGCCCUGCUUUUGUGGGGUGCUCGAGUGGCGAACGGGUGAGUAACACGUGAGUAACCUGCCCUUGACUUUGGGAUAACUUCAGGAAACUGGGGCUAAUACCGGAUAGGAGCUCCUGCUGCAUGGUGGGGGUUGGAAAGUUUCGGCGGUUGGGGAUGGGCUCGCGGCUUAUCAGCUUGUUGGUGGGGUAGUGGCUUACCAAGGCUUUGACGGGUAGCCGGCCUGAGAGGGUGACCGGCCACAUUGGGACUGAGAUACGGCCCAGACUCCUACGGGAGGCAGCAGUGGGGAAUAUUGCACAAUGGGCGGAAGCCUGAUGCAGCAACGCCGCGUGCGGGAUGACGGCCUUCGGGUUGUAAACCGCUUUCGCCUGUGACGAAGCGUGAGUGACGGUAAUGGGUAAAGAAGCACCGGCUAACUACGUG